UACGGAGGGUGCGGGCGUUGUCCGGAAUCACUGGGCGUAAAGGGCGCGUAGGCGGCGCGGGAAGUCAACGGUGAAAGUUCAGGGCUCAACCCUGAAUCGGCCGUCGAUACUCUCGGGCUCGAGCACUGUAGAGGCGGGUGGAAUUCCGGGUGUAGCGGUGGAAUGCGUAGAGAUCCGGAAGAACACCGGUGGCGAAGGCGGCCUGCUGGGCAGUAGCUGACGCUGAGGCGCGACAGCGUGGGGAGCAAACAGG
rnacentral:rRNA from 1 species